AUUGAACGCUGGCGGCAUGCCUUACACAUGCAAGUCGAACGGCAGCACGGGGGCAACCCUGGUGGCGAGUGGCGAACGGGUGAGUAAUGCAUCGGAACGUGCCCAGUAGUGGGGGACAACCAGUCGAAAGAUUGGCUAAUACCGCAUACGACCUAUGGGUGAAAGCGGGGGACCGUAAGGCCUCGCGCUAUUGGAGCGGCCGAUGUCUGAUUAGCUAGUUGGUGAGGUAAAGGCUCACCAAGGCGACGAUCAGUAGCUGGCCUGAGAGGACGACCAGCCACACUGGGACUGAGACACGGCCCAGACUCCUACGGGAGGCAGCAGUGGGGAAUUUUGGACAACGGGCGCAAGCCUGAUCCAGCCAUGCCGCGUGCGGGAAGAAGGCCUUCGGGUUGUAAACCGCUUUUGGCAGGAACGAAACGGCGCGGGCUAAUACCCAGCGUUAAUGACGGUACCUGCAGAAUAAGCACCGGCUAACUACGUGCCAGCCGCCGCCGUAACAC
rnacentral:rRNA from 1 species